rnacentral:ncRNA from 1 species
AUUAUUUAAUAUGUAAAUAUUACAUUAAAAAUUUAUUUGCAGUUUUUAGUUUUAAAACAUUAUUUAAGUAAGUUUUAGUAAUUAAUUAUAGAUUUAAUAAAAUUUGUGCCAGCAAUUGCGGUUAUACAAAUAAUUCAAUUGAAAUUUAUUGGUUAAUAAUUAAUUUGUUUUAAUUAAUUUAUUAUUAAAAUUUUUAAGUGAAAUUUAAAUUUUAAUAUAAUUUUUUUGUUUAUAUUUGAAGUUAUUAAAAUUAAUAUUAAACUAGGAUUAGAUACCCUAUUAUUAUAAUUGUAAAGUUUAAAUACCAGAUUAGUAUUAGUUGUUUUCUUAAAAAUUAAAGGAUUUGGCGGUAUUUUAGUCUAUUCAGAGGAACCUGUCCUGUAAUCGAUAAUCCACGAUUAGAAUAACUUUUCUUUUUCUUGUAUAUCGUUGUUUUUGAAUAUUUUAUAAGAAUUUAAAUUUUCAAUAAGUAUAUUUUAGUUAAUUUCAGAUCAAGGUGCAGUUUAUAGGAAAGAAGAUGAUGGGUUACAUUAAAUUUAUUUUUGGUUUAAUAUUUUGAAUAAUAUUAUUAAAUUGGAUUUGAUAGUAAUAUUUUAUAUAUUUAUUAUAUGAUUUUAGCUCUAAAAUGUGUACAUAUUGCCCGUCGCUCUCAUUUAUUUGAGAUAAGUCGUAACAAAGUAGAUUUACUGGAAAGUGAAUCUAGUAU